rnacentral:RNase_MRP_RNA from 13 species
CAAGGCACACUCCUUGGGGAAAUUCCCCGGGCAACCAACGGGAGAGAGUCCCAUCCGGAAACGGAAAUACCGGCGCGGCAGCCGCUUGUGCACGAAGACGGCCGAUACGUUCAUUUUUGGAUACUAGGCAAGAGUGAUUAUAGCGAGACGGCGCCGUCAAAAAGCCGCAGCCAUAUCAAAGUAAUGCCAUCUUUGAAACUCAACGGGGGUCACUACCG